rnacentral:rRNA from 1 species
GUAGGAGGCGAGCGUUAUCCGGAUUCACUGGGCGUAAAGCGCGUGCAGGCGGUUUGGUAAGUUGGGCGUGAAAGCUCCCGGCUCAACUGGGAGAGGUCGUUCAAUACUACCAAACUAGAGAAUAGAAGAGGAAGAUGGAAUUCCCGGUGUAGUGGUGAAAUGCGUAGAUAUCGGGAGGAACACCAGUGGCGAAGGCGAUCUUCUGGUCUAUUUCUGACGCUCAGACGCGACAGCUAGGGUAGUAAACGGGAUUAGAGACCCCGGUAAUCCUAGCCGUAAACGAUGUGAACUUGGCGUCGGUGGCUUAAACACCAUCGGUGCCGAAGCAAACGCGAUAAGUUCACCGCCUGGGGACUACGGCCGCAAGGUUAAA